rnacentral:rRNA from 1 species
CAUCAUGGCUCAGGAUGAACGCUGGCGGCGUGCCUAACGCAUGCAAGUCGAGCGAAGCGGUUUUAAGGAAGUUUUCGGAUGGAAUUAAAACUGACUGAGCGGCGGACGGGUGAGUAACGCGUGGGUAACCUGCCUCAUACAGGGGGAUAACAGUUAGAAAUGGCUGCUAAUACCGCAUAAGCACACAGCUUCGCAUGGAGCAGUGUGAAAAACUCCGGUGGUAUGAGAUGGACCCGCGU